GUGUGAUGCAAGUCCAGCUGACAAGCAGGAGGAAAGAUGCAGCUGUCAGGGUUUCUGCGCGGCAAGCUGCUCCUCACAAGCCACAUUUUUAACUGAGUGCUGAUUUAAAAUCAAGUUUGACAAAUAGCAUGUUGGGGUUGUCAGGUCCUGGAGCACUGUCUUCCAGGAAGUAUGAAAAAGGCACCAGAGGAGAGCUUGGCAUAGACUCCCAUAUGACAGUAAUUAAAGGCUUUUGCACUCGGGCUCUGGGAGCUGCUCCUCUUGUAAAUUGGCCUUGAUUGAAGAGGAAGAGAAUGAUUAGACUGGAGGAGAGUGAUGGGGGUGGCAGGAGAAAAUGCAGAGAGAUGCAAACAAGCCUUGAGAGGGGCAGACAAGAUUUACCCAGGAAGCAAUAGGAGCCCUUGAGCCCCGAUGCCAAUAAUCCUCAUCUGGAGUCAGUCCCGUUGGCUCCAGCCACUGCUGAGCUUGCUGGUGGAGAAAACCACUGCAUUGGAUCAAAUCAAUGUUAAAGGAAACUUCACAGAAGUCAAUAGCUAGUGGUCAAGAAGAGUUGCCAGACUCUUGCUUUCUCAGUAACUAAUAAAAGUGCUUUUUAGCACAA